CCUACGGGUGGCAGCAGUGGGGAAUAUUGGGCAAUGGGCGCAAGCCUGACCCAGCAACGCCGCGUGAGUGAAAAAGGCUUUCGGGUUGUAAACCUCUUUUCUCAGGGACGAAGAAAGCGGUACUUCCCUAGGAAUACCCCACGGCUAACUACGCGCCAGCAGCCGCGGUAAUACGUAGGGGGCAAGCGUUAUCCGGUUUGAGUGGGUGUAAAGGGCGUGUAGGCGGGAGCGGAAGUCAGAUGUGAAAGCUCAGGGCUCAACCCUGGGACUGCAUUUGAAACUGUGUUGCUUGAGUGCUGGAGAGGCAAGCGGAAUUCCGGGUGUAGCGGUGAAAUGCGUAGAUAUAAGGAGGAACACCAGUGGCGAAGGCGGCUUACUGGACAGUAACUGACGCUGAGGCGCGAAAGCGUGGGGAGCAAACAGGAUUAGAUACCCCUGUAGUC
rnacentral:rRNA from 1 species